rnacentral:rRNA from 1 species
CAGGUCACUCCUACGGGAGGCAGCAGUGGGGAAUAUUGGACAAUGGGCGCAAGCCUGAUCCAGCAAUGCCGCGUGAGUGAUGAAGGCCUUAGGGUUGUAAAGCUCUUUCGGCGGGGACGAUGAUGACGGUACCCGCAGAAGAAGCCCCGGCUAACUUCGUGCCAGCAGCCGCGGUAAUACGAAGGGGGCGAGCGUUGUUCGGAAUUACUGGGCGUAAAGGGCGCGUAGGCGGUCUGAUAAGUUAGAUGUGAAAUUCCCGGGCUUAACCUGGGGGCUGCAUUUGAUACUGUCAGGCUUGAAUCCAGGAGAGGAUAGUGGAAUUCCCAGUGUAGAGGUGAAAUUCGUAGAUAUUGGGAAGAACACCAGUGGCGAAGGCGGCUACCUGGACCGGUAUUGACGCUAAGGCGCGAAAGCGUGGGGAGCAAACAGGAUUAGAUACCCUGGUAGUCCUAGCCCUAAACGAUGGAUACUUGGUGUGUCCGGGAUUGAAUCCGGGCGUGCCGAAGCUAACGCAUUAAGUAUCCCGCCUGGGGAGUACGGUCGCAAGGCUGAAACUUAAAGGAAUUGACG